rnacentral:rRNA from 1 species
GGAAUAUUGGACAAUGGGCGCAAGCCUGAUCCAGCCAUGCCGCGUGCAGGAUGACGGUCCUAUGGAUUGUAAACUGCUUUUAUACAGGAAGAAACAGUUCUACGUGUAGAACCUUGACGGUACUGUAAGAAUAAGGAUCGGCUAACUCCGUGCCAGCAGCCGCGGUAAUACGGAGGAUCCAAGCGUUAUCCGGAAUCAUUGGGUUUAAAGGGUCCGUAGGCGGUUUAAUAAGUCAGUGGUGAAAGCCCAUCGCUCAACGGUGGAACGGCCAUUGAUACUGUUAGACUUGAAUUAUUAGGAAGUAACUAGAAUAUGUAGUGUAGCGGUGAAAUGCUUAGAGAUUACAUGGAAUACCAAUUGCGAAGGCAGGUUACUACUAAUGGAUUGACGCUGAUGGACGAAAGCGUGGGUAGCGAACAGGAUUAGAUACCCCAG